rnacentral:rRNA from 1 species
UACGUAGGGUGCAAGCGUUGUCCGGAAUUAUUGGGCGUAAAGAGCUCGUAGGCGGUUCGUCGCGUCGGCUGUGAAAACCCGGAGCUCAACUCCGGGCCUGCAGUCGAUACGGGCGGACUAGAGUUCGGCAGGGGAGACUGGAAUUCCUGGUGUAGCGGUGAAAUGCGCAGAGUAUCAGGAGGAACACCGGUGGCGAAGGCGGGUCUCUGGGCCGAUACUGACGCUGAGGAGCGAAAGCGUGGGGAGCGAACAGG